CUUUUUUCUUGCUGUCAAACACUGCCUGGUAAAUGCAUAACUCGUGUGAUGUUGGCUUUGUGCACUGAUUGAUUUGUAAAAGCUAUUCCAUCCCAAAUCACCAGCUCUUUGGGUCUCAGCCUACAACCCUACUCAGCCAGGAGACUCUGUCCUCUAGGCGUUUGGCAGCAGGCUCAUGCUCGAGCGUGGAAGUCCUCAAUUUCUACAGGACAAACAAGUAUGUGCUCUGACAGUCCCCUCUUCUCAUCAUGCCAUGGAUAUAUUUAACAGAAGAAAACCCAUUGGAUUUGUUGUCUGCUCUGUGGUGAUGAUGGGAUCACUUUAGCUUUGCUAAAUGCUGCUCUGAAGCAAGUCAAGAGGGAGAACAAGUCUUAUAAAGAGCAGGUCACAACAUGCACAAGGAUUUUUGAAGAAUCUGGGUAUUAUAGGGUUUUUUCAAGUUGGGCUCCUUCUCAUGUUCUAGAGCACAGUAACAAGACAACCAGAUGUAAAUGAGCUCUUGAUUUCAUUUUGAGAUGACAAAGAUAAUUAAAUGCCAGGAAAAAGCUUCUCCUCUGCUGCCAUUUAUUGAAAAUUUUACAUUUUCUUGAAUGUGUCCUUUAGGUGAUUAAUA